rnacentral:rRNA from 1 species
UGGCGGCAUGCUUAACACAUGCAAGUCGCACGGACCCUUCGGGGUUAGUGGCGCACGGGUGAGUAACACGUAGGAAUCUGUCUUGAGGUGGGGGAUAACUCCGGGAAACUGGAGCUAAUACCGCAUGAUAACUGAGGUUCAAAGGUCGCAAGACCGCCUUGAGAGGGGCCUGCGUUCGAUUAGUUAGUUGGUGGGGUAAUGGCCUACCAAGACGAUGAUCGAUAGCUGGUUUGAGAGGAUGAUCAGCCACACUGGGACUGAGACACGGCCCAGACUCCUACGGGAGGCAGCAGUGGGGAAUAUUGGACAAUGGGGGCAACCCUGAUCCAGCAAUGCCGCGUGUGUGAAGAAGGUCUUCGGAUUGUAAAACACUUUCGUUGGGGACGAUGAUGACGGUACCCAAAGAAGAAGCCCCGGCUAACUUCGUGCCAGCAGCCGCGGUAAUACGAAGGGGGCGAGCGUUGCUCGGAAUAACUGGGCGUAAAGGGCGCGUANGCGGCCGAUAGCUGUCAGAUGUGAAAUUUUUGGGCUCAACCCGAAAACUGCAUUUGAUACGUAUUGGCUAGAGUGCGAGAGAGGAUUGCGGAAUUCCCAGUGUAGAGGUGAAAUUCGUAGAUAUUGGGAAGAACACCAGUUGCGAAG